UACGGAGGGGGCCAGCGUUGUUCGGAAUUAUUGGGCGUAAAGGGCGCGUAGGCGGCCGAAUAAGUCUGAUGUGAAAUCCCACGGCUCAACCGUGGAACUGCAUCUGAAACUGUUCGGCUCCGAGUCCGGGAGAGGGUAGUGGAAUUCCCAGUGUAGCGGUGAAAUGCGUAGAUAUUGGGGAGGAACACCGGUGGCGAAGGCGGCUACCUGG
rnacentral:rRNA from 1 species